rnacentral:rRNA from 1 species
GACGAACGCUGGCGGCGUGCUUAACACAUGCAAGUCGAACGGAAAGGCCCUGCUUUUGUGGGGUGCUCGAGUGGCGAACGGGUGAGUAACACGUGAGUAACCUGCCCUUGACUUUGGGAUAACUUCAGGAAACUGGGGCUAAUACCGGAUAGGAGCUCCUGCUGCAUGGUGGGGGUUGGAAAGUUUCGGCGGUUGGGGGUGGACUCGCGGCUUAUCAGCUUGUUGGUGGGGUAGUGGCUUACCAAGGCUUUGACGGGUAGCCGGCCUGGGAGGGUGACCGGCCACAUUGGGACUGAGAUACGGCCCAGACUCCUACGGGAGGCAGCAGUGGGGAAUAUUGCACAAUGGGCGGAAGCCUGAUGCAGCAACGCCGCGUGCGGGAUGACGGCCUUCGGGUUGUAAACCGCUUUCGCCUGUGACGAAGCGUGAGUGACGGUAAUGGGUAAAGAAGCACCGGCUAACUACGUG